GCUGGACAUGGUGGCGCAUGCCUGUAAUCCCAGCAACUCAGGAGGCUGAGGUAGGGGAAUCACGAGUUCAAAGCCAGCCUCAGAAUUUAGCAAGACCCUAUCUCUA
rnacentral:sRNA from 1 species